CCUCGCCUUUAGUUGGCCAUCAUUUAGUUGGGUACUCUAAAAGAACCGCCGGUGAUAAGCCGGAGGAAUGUGGGGAUGACGUCAAUUCCUCAUGGCCCUUACGCGUUGGGCUACACACGUGCUACAAUGGCGACUACAGUGGGCAGCCACCUCGCGAGAGGGAGCUGAUCUCCAAAAGUCGUCUCAGUUCGGAUCGUUCUCUGCAACUCGAGAGCGUGAAGGCGGAAUCGCUAGUAAUCGCGGAUCAGCAUGCCGCGGUGAAUACGUUCCCAGGCCUUGUACACACCGCCCGUCACACCAUGGGAGUUGGAUUCACUCGAAGGCGUUGAGCUAACCGCAAGGAGGCAGGCGACCACAGUGGGUUUAGCGACUGGGGUGAAUUCGUAACAAGGUACCGUANGGGAACCUGCGGCUGGAUCACCUC
rnacentral:rRNA from 1 species